UACGGAGGGUGCAAGCGUUAUCCGGAUUCACUGGGCUUAAAGGGUGCGUAGGCGGGUCUGUAAGUCAGUGGUGAAAUCCCCGAGCUUAACCCGGGAACUGCCAUUGAUACUAUAUAUCUUGAAUAUUCUGGAGGUAUGCGGAAUAUGUCAUGUAGCGGUGAAAUGCUUAGAGAUGACAUAGAACACCUAUUGCGAAGGCAGCAUACUACGGAAAGAUUGACGCUGAGGCACGAAAGUGUGGGGAUCAAACAGG
rnacentral:rRNA from 1 species